rnacentral:piRNA from 1 species
UUGUUUGAACAAUAGGAUUUGCUCAGCC